rnacentral:lncRNA from 1 species
UAGCUAUUACAGUUAUCAAGACAACCAGGAGUACCGAACAGGAGGUGAGUAAUGUAAAUGUUUGAUUCCGCUCCUUCCGGUCCGCUUCCUCUAGCUUUGGAAGCGCAGCCAAACGGGUGGAGGGCGUCAGUUAAUAAACUAGUGGCCCGAAAGGAGUUGCAGCGGUUGAAACCAAAUGGCAGUUGUGCUGUCGGCCGUUUGAAAAAUGAUGCGGAUCUUUUGUUUGUGCUAGUUUUAACUUGCUCUGGCACAAUGAGUGGCUGAUAGAUGGCUUGUUUGCUCCACUACAAAAAGAGGCUCUGUUCUUCUGGCGUCAUCAAUCUCGUCAUCAGACGCCAUUUGAUAUCGGAAGCAGUCGAUUAUUCCUUUCUUAUUUGUUUUUCUUCUCCAUAACUCGUCUUCCUCCUAGAUUGCAACUUCAGCUGCGCCUCUUUAACCUAUCAGUUGGCUUCUAGCAUUUUGGUCUGUUCACAGGAGGGCACGUCCUUUGUAUCGAAUCGGGAAUUUAACCAUGUACAGAUGGCUUCAUUUCUCUAACAUAUCGUCCAGUUGAAAUUAAAAGUUGCUAAAUGCAGCUGUGGCGAAAUAUAACUUUGUUUUUCCGCGUUACCGAUAUCCGAGAUCGGUCCAUUGUAACCAACUUAGAGCAUGUUCCUGCAUGGCGAAGUCGGCGCUUGCGUAACUAACUGAUUAUUGUUGAUCCAGAGUCAAAACAAGUCGUUGCAGCACUUCUCUCGGAGGAGUGGAUGGCUAAUCGCCCGGGGACUGUUGGCCGUCUGCAACAUGACGGCGGCCGGACCAGAGUAUAACGCGGGGAACCUUCAGGAUGAUAAAUGGAUGGUGUUAGGUAAAGUAGAGUAGGGAAGAUAGUCGGAGCGAAACGGGAAAGACUUUUUCGCUGCUACACGCUCCAUCCAUCAUCUCUUCUCCUUUGAUACAUGUCGGACGGCCAGAGCAAGCUUGGCUUCUCCCGCAGGAAAUGAAGCCACCUGACAGUUCACGCUGGCGUAUCGGUUGUCCUUCCAGUCCAAAGCGUUGUUGACGAUGGUUAAUUGAAAAUUUCAGAUAUAGACAAAUGGAACAUUCGAAUCCGCCUUCACCUAAUAACCGCUCUUCUCCGAUAACAUAAGAGCGGUAUAGGUCAACGCGUCCAAACCUCGAACAGAAAUCUAGAAAUUUAACACCUCGGGGCAAUAUUAGAUAUUAUGUUAAAAUUAGCGGAACUGGGGCAAAGCUGAUCGAUGUAGCAAAUAAUUACCUGUGGCAAUUAAUGCUGAUGUAUCAUUUCCUUUUGGGGCGCGAUAUCUGGCUCUUACUCUAGAGGACCACCUGAAUCUCUUGCGCCCGUGUUUAGUACAACAACUGUAUUAUAACUUAUAAAAAUUAUAUGGGAGACAAGCUAAUCAGCGAUUAAGAAUGAUUGAGAAAUCCUAAAAUGGGCCACAAUACUACACUGCGUUCAGAAAAAAAGGAACGAGUCAGGCGUAACUGAUUGUUGCAACGAGCAGCUAUUCAUGCGUCUAAAGUAGAAUUUAUCAACUUUAAUUAUUAGUAGUUAAUAACCAAAGCAAAUAUUAGCAAUUUCCCUUUUAACCUAUUUAUUUGUCUCCAUUCCGAGGAUUUUUUUUUUUUUUUAUGUUUAUAGUAACAACAACAGAUCAUACGAAAGUACGAUAUGUUAAAGUCAAUAAUAAGUGGAGUUUCCUGUUGACCAGCCGUUUAGAGCUUUCUGCCU